CCCCUCUCUCGCUCUCCCGCUCCAAAGUUUUCGCCUCUUAAACCCGCUUCAGGUCAUUUCCUCCUCUUCCUCUUCUUCCUUUGGAUUGUUUCUCUCGUUUAACGUUGUGAUGAACUCUAUUUGUUUGAUGCGGAUCGGAGAUCGUGUGAUUUACUUCAUUGUCUCCACCAAAUCUCGGGAGCAUUCGGGUAGAGAAGAAAGAUUCCAGUUCCAGCUAAAGAUGUCAGCUAUCCCUCCAACCACUCCACCUUGGAACAUUCAACUAUUACGGGCCGGGCUAUAGGAGAUACUGGAUGUCAAUGUUUAACUUUUGAAUUGGUACAGCAUUAUUAACCUGGGAUCAGGCAUCCAACAUAUCUUUGACGGCUUCUAUAUACCCGAGUCGGUUGCCUCCAUGAAUCUAUCAACGUAGUUUUUAUCAAGGAAGAGUUCGAAUUCCAUGUCAGGACAAGGCACCAGGGUGAAGAUAAUCGAGACCAAGUUCGUCGAGACGGAUGCGACUCACUUCAAAUCUGUUGUGCAGAGCCUAACCGGGAAAGACGCAAGGCCACCGUUCAUGGCGUCGGAGAGCUCAAGCGGGUCUAGGCGCAACAUUCAGAUGAUUGAACGGCCUACUGUGGCCGGUGUAUCAGCCGGACGGUCAUGGCCUAACGAUCCCCGGGAAGAGGGUCAGGGGGUGCUAAACCUGGAGGAGGUGUUUAGGUAUUCGCAACAGUAGAUUGCAUAGACAUGUUGAUUUAUUUUAUGUCAUGACAUCGUUUCUCGAGGCUCCAAUUCCAAUGGUGGAGUUAGAGAUGAGACUUGAUCUCAGUAUAUUAAAUUGUUAAACCGUGACAAGAAUCUGACCUGUAGCUUCCCGAGUGCAGAAACGACUAGGAAUUGAAUUUAUCUCUGUUCAAUUUUGUUCUCUUGAUAAACCAUGUCAGGGGUUUAUGUGGGAGAAGUUGGUGUUCGAACUUGGGCUGAUGCAUAGGCAUCAUCUCACGUUGAGAUUAUAUAAACAUUAAUAAGUUGCUCUACUGUUGAACUGAGCUUCACCACCGUUAUUUCGCUCCGCUGUUUCCAAGUGAACACCGUUAAGACCUUUUCUUUCUCUUUUUGGGAGUGAAUUUGCAUGUCCAUUCAUUCAAUCAGUUGAUCACGA